rnacentral:piRNA from 1 species
UCCUAGGUCCUCGAGCUGUGACCCAGAG